GUGGGUUCAAUUCAACACGUAUGAGGUUUGGAUAGAUACAUGGAUGGUAGGGUUUGGUGGGACUUCACAGUACAGGAUGGGCUGAAGGACCUGUUUUUGUGCUGUAGUGCUCCGUGAUUCUAUGAUGCUAACUCCCUCCAGACUCCAUCACUUCUGAGUGAUUCUUGCUGCACACUUUCAACUCUGUGCUUUCUGAGGACAUUAGAAGAAACCACAGGGAAAUGACGGCUGAGGCGGCAGAGCUACUGACUGAGAUACAUCACAGUAAUAGGCCCUUCUGGCGCUAUGAGCCUGGGCCACUAAAUUACACACGUGUGAACUCGUACGUCUUUGGACUGUGGGAGGGAACUGAAGCGCUCGGAGGAAACCCAUGCAUUCAUGGGGAGAAGGUACCAACUCCUUACAGACAGCGACCCUGAUGGACAGUGGUGAAGCACAAGUCCAGUUCGUUCAUUAGUUGGAAAGAGUGACGAUGGGGAACUCUGGCUUCAGUUGUUGCACGUAUCUGUCCUCAUGCUGCGGUGUUACGGCCACUCAGGAGAGGUGGUGUGCGAGAGAACAGCAGUACAUCGAGCACGCUGGAAUCCACGCUGGGCUUGGGGUCGCUCUUUAGUGUUUGCUCCCUGGAAAACAAGUUUGUCUGCAGCUGACCUAGCAUGAGAUGAAGAACUGCUCUGUGCUUGUUCGUGCAGAAACGUGGCUCAUGCACCAUCUCAAGGCCAUGCAACUCAGUGGUGACUUAUAUUAUUUUCGUGACUAUGUGCUAUUGUUACUAGAUGUGCCAUGUGUUGUGUGUAACUAUAUGUACUGAGGGUUGAUACUGUUGUGUGUGUGUCCUUUGCCACUGCUGAUGUGGGAUUGCUGAUGCUGGAGUGGCACUGUGGUCAGUGGGUAGAGCCCUGUCUGUGUGGAGUUCGAAGUUCUAUCUGUAACCACGUGGGUUUCUUCCAGAUUCUUCCUUCAUUCCCAUCAUGGUAUCCCACAGACUCACUUUCACGGACACUUCACAACUCCUAUUUGGAAGUCAUACAUGAUAUAGGGCACCACAGCAACGAAACAGGCCACUCGGCCCAUCAAUAUGCUGAACUGUUAUUCCCAUUGACCCUCAACUGGACCAUGGCCUUCCAUAACCCCCCCCCCCCAUCCAGUAACAUAUCCAAACUCCUGUUACAUGUUGAAAUUAAACCUACAUCCACCACUUCCACUGACAUCUCAUUCCCCCUCAGGUUGCCCUUAAACAUUUCACCUUUCACCUUUAAUCCAUGACCCCUAGUUCUGGUCUUACCCAACCUCAGUGGGGAAAAAACUGCUUGCAACUACUUACAAAAAUACCCUAUCUGUAUCUAAUUUUAUGAACCUCGAGCUGUCAGGGUCUGGACUGCAUAGUGUGGUUGUAUUUUAAUGAUACCUUAUAUGUGUUCACUAUCUUGCAUGUGUGUGGACUAGGCCUCUAGCCGCGGUGUCACCUGUUUACAGCCAUCAGGCGGAGAGGUAUCGGAGCUGGUGCGCUCCACUGGGGGGUGGUGUGGCUUGGUGUCCAGGCUGGAGUCUGUGCUGCCCCCCCCAACCCCCCUCAGUGUUCAUUUAGCAGGAGACAAACUCUGCUGUGGAGGUCUGCCGAUUUCCGUGGCAUUAGAUGGGUCAAGGUUGGACAGUUAUUGAGUAGCUGCAUCCUUCUAUUGUAUAUACGCUAUGCGUGCUUUGUGCCACGUGUGACCAUCGGUAGUGUCUUGCACCUUGACCCCGGAGUAACACUGUCUCCUUUGGCUGUAUUCAUGAGUGUGUUCAUAUAUCAUUGAAUGACAAUUAAACUCAAAUAAAAUUGAAUUGAAAUCUCCUCCCAUUCUCCAAUGUUGCAGGGAAUAAAAUCGUAACCUACGUAACCUUUCCCUAUAACCCAGAGCCUCAGGUCCCAGCAACAUCCUUGUAAAUGUUCUCUGUGCUCUCUCAAUCUAAUUGAUAUAUUUCCAUUCCUCAGUACUAUUUUAUUGUUUGGACAAUUU